CUCUGUGACUCCUACGGGAGGCAGCAGUGGGGAAUAUGCACAAUGGGGGAAACCCUGAUGCAGCCAUGCCGCGUGUGUGAAGAAGGCCUUCGGGUUGUAAAGCACUUUCAGUAGGGAGGAAGGUAGUGUAGUUAACACCUGCAUUAUUUGACGUUACCUACAGAAGAAGCACCGGCUAACUCCGUGCCAGCAGCCGCGGUAAUACGGAGGGUGCGAGCGUUAAUCGGAAUUACUGGGCGUAAAGCGCAUGCAGGCGGCCUGUUAAGUCAGAUGUGAAAGCCCCGGGGCUUAACCUCGGAAUUGCAUUUGAAACUGGCAGGCUAGAGUCUUGUAGAGGGGGUAGAAUUUCAGGUGUAGCGGUGAAAUGCGUAGAGAUCUGAAGGAAUACCAGUGGCGAAGGCGGCCCCCUGGACAAAGACUGACGCUCAGAUGCGAAAGCGUGGGGAGCAAACAGGAUUAGAUACCCUGGUAG
rnacentral:rRNA from 1 species